AGAGGGAUAGCUGGGUCAAAUGGUGGUUUUAUUCGAAUUUUCCAAGGAAUCUCCAUAUUGCUUUCCAUAUUGGCUGCACCAAUUUGCAGUCCCACCAGCAGU
rnacentral:pre_miRNA from 1 species